AUUGAACGCUGGCGGCAGGCCUAACACAUGCAAGUCGAACGAGCGGCGGACGGGUGAGGAAUGUCUGGGGAACUGCCUGAUGGAGGGGGAUAACUACUGGAAACGGUAGCUAAUACCGCAUACAAUCAGAUGAACCCAGAUGGGAUUAGCUUGUAGGUAAGGUAACGGCUUACCUCGUCGACGAUCACUAGCUGGUCUGAGAGGAUGAUCAGCCACACUGGGACGGAGACACGGCCCAGCCUCCUACGGGAGGCAGCAGUGGGGAAUAUUGCACAAUGGGCGCAAGCCUGAUGCAGCCAUGCCGCGUGUAUGAAGAAGGCCUUCGGGUUGUAAAGUACUUUCAGUCGGGAGGCGUUACCGACAGAAGAAGCACCGGCUAACUCCGUGCCAGCCGCCGCGGUAAUUC
rnacentral:rRNA from 1 species